UGAGGAACAUGACCUUCGGCGGGGAUAGCCGGCCCAACGGCCGGGUAAUACCGCGUACGACCUUUCGGGGACAUCCCUGGAUGGUGAAAGCAGCAAUGCGCCGAUGGAGUGCCUCGCGGCCUAUCAGCUGGUUGGUGAGGUAACGGCUCACCAAGGCAACGACGGGUAGCUGGUCUGAGAGGAUGGCCAGCCACAUUGGGACUGAGACACGGCCCAGACCUCCGUACGGGNGCAG
rnacentral:rRNA from 1 species